GUGUAUGGCAAUUCUGCUAUGAGCGCACCUAAUUUCAUCUGAUCGUGGAAGUUGAGUAGAGUGAGGCCUGUUAGUAUUUGGAUGGGAGAUACCACGUGCUUGUAGGAU
ensembl:rRNA 5S_rRNA 5S ribosomal RNA